GCGGUGAUCAGGGUGGGCGGGGAGUAGGCGGGGGCGACCGCCUACUCAGGGCUUGCCCCGCCUCCUCCUUUCCAUAAACCGCCUUGUGGGACAGUCUCACUCUCAGUCCCGGUGUCCCGGAGUCCAGGCUGGCUAGCUGAGAUGACUUCCCUGGGUUUGGUGAUGGAGAACAGCCAGGUGCUCCCCGCCUUUCUGCUCUGCAGCACACUGCUGGUCAUCAAGAUGUACGCGGUGGCUGUCAUCACAGGCCAAGUCAGGCUGCGGAAGAAGGCUUUUGCCAACCCCGAGGACGCGUUGAAACGUGGAGGUCUCCAGUACUGCAGGAGUGACCCAGAUGUGGAGCGCUGCCUCAGAGCCCACCGCAACGACAUGGAGACGAUCUACCCCUUCCUCUUCCUUGGUUUCGUCUACUCAUUCCUGGGACCCAACCCUCUCAUCGCCUGGAUACAUUUCCUCGUGGUCCUCACAGGCCGUGUGGUACACACCGUGGCCUACCUGGGCAAAAUGAACCCACGCAUUCGCUCCGGGGCCUAUGUUCUGGCCCAGUUCGCCUGUUUCUCCAUGGCCCUACAGAUCCUCUGGGAAGUGGCCCACCAUCUGUGACCAGCAGCUGAAGCCUCCUCAGAUACCACAAUGGGGGACGGAGCCAUGAAGGCUGAACCAGAGGACUUGGUGCCCCUUCUAGAACAGGGAUGGGCUCAGGUCCAGGGUUCCUGGCUAAGCUAGGUGUGUGGAUCUCUGAGCCUAAUGUGCAAAUGUGUGUCUUAGCCUUUUGGGACCCUGGGUGAUGUGUCCGAUUAGAACCGCUUACAGAUUGACAGAACAUCCUUCACCUCACAAAUGCCUUAAACUUCCUCUUACCCAUAAAGCAAAGGACAGAAGAUUGUCCAACAGAGCCAUCAUGCCAUAUAGGGCUAAGGAUGAGGGCUUCUCAGACCUACCUGUAAUUCUGGCACAGCCAGAGGAGAGACACGUGACUGGUGUGUGUCUCAGGGCGUCCUCACAAGAGGCCCAGCAGUGGCCGGCUCCCAGUGGAAGUAGGGUGCCAAGUUUUCAGAGGAGGGCAGGUCAGAGCUUCCCUGUCCCCUGUUGAUACCUCUCUGUCCUGCCUUAGCUAGCACAGGCUCAGGGUGAAGCAAAUGUUCCCAGCUCAGCCUGCUCCUGCGCGGCCUUGGCUCCUCCAAAGACUGAAAGUCAAGGAUGGGCUUUGACCAACCGCUAAAAACCGCACCUGUGAGGUUUGAAGAUGCCAAACAUCUACUCCUGUGAAAAAUCUCACCUAUGUGUGUGCAGUGUCCCUCCAGAGUCCUCCUGAGACCGGUUCAGGCUUAGCCAUUAAACAGCAGAGUGUGACCUGUGAACGUUCCGUGUCUAAGCCUCGUGCUGUCCCAGAUGGCCCAGUGCCUACUGGGAAUUUUCAGGUUCUGUUCAGGUGCCUAUGUUUUACUUUUGUGAGGCAAGGUCUCACUUAGCCCAGGUUUGGCCUCAAACUUACUGUGCAGCCAGGACAACCUUGAGCUAACAGCCUACCUGUACCUCCUAAGUGCUGGGAUUACAGGCCUGCAACACCACGUGUCAAGCCAGCGCAGACGCAGGCGACGUCUGGGUAGAAAUCACUCCACCAGGCUGCUCCAGGGAAGUCCUUCUUCAGCAAGGAGCUCCCUGACAAGAUGGUGUUUGCCUUGGGAUCCAGAGAUGUCUAAAUCCUGCCUGCCAAGUGGGGACUCUUCCUGUAGCUGUGCCAACCUAGUAGCAUGCUGGUUUUCUGCUCUACAGAUGGAGACAGAAGUGACCACCUGAAGGGGUAGGGUCUGCUCCAGAACCUGGGACAUUCGGGCUUCCCACCCAAGGCUGCUGCCUAGUUAUACUACCUCUCCUCCUAGCGGGACAAGCCCUGUGCCCCAGACCUGCUCUAAUGGGGUUGGGAGAGAGAUUGUUACUGGAAAGCUAGCCUCCGUUUCAGCCUCAAACAGCUACAGUGUUCUAGAGGGAACAGCACUGCCCUCUGGUGGUGAGAUGAAGCCUUUGCUCAGCUGAGAAAACAACUGUAGAUAGGUACCAGCUGUCCCGAACACUAGGCUGGAUGUGACCUUCGUCUGUCACUGCUCCUCCCCCCCACCGCCUCAAUUAAUACUUAAAAAUAAUUUAAAGGAGGCAUUUCUGCAUUUUAGAUAUGAUCAGGUGCAUUUGGGCAAAAGACUUCUGCAUUUUAAUUUUAUGUAGAUGGGUGUUUUGUAUGAAUUUAUGUCUGUAUUAUAUGUGUACCUGGUGCCCAUGGAGGCCAGAAGAGGAUGUUGGAUCUGAAGUUACAGUUGUGAGCCAUCGUGUGGGUGCUGGGAAUUGACCCAGGAUCCUUUGAAGAGCAGCCAGUGCUCUUAACCACUGAGCCACCUCUCCAGAUCCAUUUUAGUGUUUUAGAUGAGGGAUUCAAGGGUCCAAGAAGACUUGUCCUGAAUUCCUGGGCUAGGACAGGAGAGAAGUCUGCAAGGUGGGGUCCAGGAGAGAUAGGGGCUGGAGGAGUUCGUGCAGGGCAGAUAAAUAUUUAAUUCAGUGUUUUCCUCUCUAUGCAAGGCAGAUAAAUAUUUAUUUCAGUGUUUUCCUCUCAAGAAGGUAGGAUUGUUAGGGCUAGGUGUUCUAGUAAGAACCUGCUAGUUGCCUGCUUCAGAAGACGCCUCACUCACGAUGUCUGUGUGCUGCGAGGCCUGUGAGAUGGAGGCCAAGGGCCCCUCGGAGGGUCUACUCAUGUGUCUGUUCUUGCCCAUCCCCUAGCACUGCAGUGGGAAAGGCAGCAAACAAGGGACUGACAGCCUCACGUGGGGUAAGAAGUCUCGGUCCUCUGAUCCCUGCUGGGCUGUCCAAUGGGGAGGGAAUCCCGCUGAUGCAGCCCAGGAAGUGUAAAGAGAUUCAAGUGUACACGCCUUUAAUCUAGCACACGGGAGGCGACAGAAAGGUGGAUGUCUGAGUUGGAAGCCAGCCUGGUCUACGCAGUGAGCCCUUGUCUCAAAAACAAAGAAGUCAGCACCGGUGUGCUAUGGUAUGAAGUGCAUUGGAUGGGGUGGGAAACUGGGGUAAGAGGACCAUUAAGGUGGUCAGGGGUACCCUUGCUAUGUUCAAAGUGGGCGAGAGGUGGGGACGGUGGCUUCAGCUGGGUGUCACGGGGCAGCUGGCAGGAACAGAGGCAGGACCCAGUGACCUGUUCUGGCCUAGCCCUCAUGGUAGGGAAUUCAGGGAGUGAUCUCCUGGCUGCAAAUCUGGGCUCGAGGCAGUGGCUCCAGCCUACAGCACAGGGCACAGCAGUGUCCGGGGAGGCAGCUUGGCUGGUCCCUCCUGCCGAUCCUGCCAGAAGCUGCCACACAGCACCCGCAGCCCUCAAGCGCUGGUUCCACACCAGCAUCCCUUGCUUCCUUUUUUUCUUGCCUGGUCUGAAGCCAUCUGUGGUGGUUUGACUAGGAAUGGCCCCCAACAGACUCAUGGGUUUGAAUGCUUAGCCUGUAGAGGCCCCCAAUAGACUCAUGGGUUUGAAUGCUUAGCCUGUAGACAGUGCACCGUUAAGAGGUGUGGCCUGGUUGGAGGAAGUGUGUCACUGUGGAAGUGGGCUUUGGGGUCUCAUAUGCCUGGCAGGGCAGUUUCCUGCAGCCUUCGGAACGAGAUGCAGAACUCUCAGCUCCGUCUCCACGUCUGCCUUCAUGCCGCCGUGCUUCCUGCCAUGACAACAAUGGACUGAACCUCUGAACCUGUAGGCCAGCCCCAGUUAAAUGCUGUCCUAAUAAGAGUUGUUGUGGUUAUGGUGUCUGCUCACAGCAAUAAUCCUACCCCAACCCUAGGAUCAGACACUGGUGUGGCUGGGCUCAUGGGGCCCCAGGGUGGAGUGGAUUGAGCAACAGCCUGAAGUCCUAGAGUCCCAGACAUAGGAGCUGGGCGAGGAUGGGCCUCCAAGAACCUGGGAAGCCACAGCUGUCCCUACUUAGUGCCCAGUGUCUUGGGGACAUGUCCCAACCUCUGAGUGAGUUGGUGUCCGUACGAACCCAAGGGCCAGUAGUCAGGCUGUCUGUCUGCAUGUAGGGGGUGUGUGUGUGUGUGUGUGUGUGUGUGUGUGUGUGUGUGUGUGUGUGCGCACAUGUGGGUACAUGCAUAAUAUCAUGGUAGAUAUGUGGAGGUCAGAGAACGCUGGAGAGACGGGUCAGUUCUGUCCUUCCAUCUCAUGAGCUGAGAGACUGAACCGAGAUCCUUAGGCAUGGGAGCGAGUGCCUUUACCUGCUGAGUUAUCUUCCUGGCCAGUAUAAUCUGUGGACCGCACUCUGGCAAAGCAAUCACAGCCAUCCUGAGAGCUGAGAUGGCAGACACGGGCCAAUGGCAUUAAGUUGAGAAUUGCCUAACCAUUCCUGGACCCGGACAUUUAUUCAGUCAAGUUGUUGGGUAAUUAAUUUCCCAGGAUGCAUGGCCUGUGCUUAGCCAGGCAUAGUCACGUAUCAAUCCCUACUGGAAUUACAGGCCACCACACCAGCUCACAUGUAGUCCAUCUUGUAGCCCAGGGUAGCCUGAAACUCACCAUGUUGCAUAGGCAGGCCUGGAACUCGAUAUAGGCCAGGCUGCCUCAAAUUCAAAGCAAUGCUCCUGCUUCAGCCUCUCUAGUGCUGGAUCUCACUGGGCUCACAGCCAUUAUUUUUAGUUUCAUACCUGUAAUCCCAGGGCUCAGAGGAGACAGGAGGAUUAGAGGUUUCAAUGUUAACUCCAGUUAUGUAGAUUUUGAGGGGUCUGUGAACUACUUAAGACUGUCUCGAAAAUCAAACAGCCAGACAUGGUGGCACAUACCUUUAAUCCCAGCACUCAGGAGGCAGCAAUAUAACAGACAUAUGCUGUGUGACACAGUGGCAUAGGGUUGGGGUCCGAUGUCACAGUGGCAUAGGCUUGGGGUCCGAUCUACUCUCCUUAAAGCGCAGGCUCCCUUUGGCAGGCUUUCUUUUCUCCCAGGAGACAGCUGCGUGCAGGGCAUGCAGUGCUGGUGGGAUGUGGGAUGCGCCUGCACCAGCUACAGGUCUGACCUACUUCACUUUGCAAGUCUGAAUGAGGAAAUUAGGGAGUCUGUGGGUUAUGUGGGUUAUUUUUGUCAACUUGACUAAAAGUGAGGGCCAUCUGAGAAGAUGGAAUCUCAGUAGGAAAAAAUUGCCUGCAGGCAGGCUGCGGUUCUUGUCUGCAAUUUUCUUGACUUCUGAUGGGCAUGGGGGGGGUCGUCUAGCCCACUGCAGGUGGGCAGGUUGUCCUGGGCCAUAUGUUAAAGCAGGCUGAGCCGGCCACGGGGAGCCAGCCAACGGUGUCUGCAUCAGCUCCUGCCUCCAGGUUCCUGCCUUCAGUUCCUGCCCCAACUUCCCGUCCCGGUAGACUGUAGGCUGGGAGAUGAGGCAAACCCUUUUCUCCCCAUCACCAUGUUUAUCACAGAGGAGAAAGCAAAACAGGGCAGUUUCUCUUCCUGUUCACCAGACAGAAACUUAGAGUUCAGAAUCGUUCUGUCUUCUAUUUUUGUUCAAUAUGUUGGCAGUCUAGAACUUGACUGUUCGUUUGUUUGGACACACUAGUUUAUUAAGAAUUUAAAAAUUCGAAUGUGUUUGGAUCAUAUUCAAUCUCCUACUACGUCACCUAACUCUUCCCAGACGCACCUCCACCUUCCCACUCUUUUCUUCUUUCCCCUUCCUCUUCCCCCUUUCCUCUUCCCCCUUUCUUCUUCCUCCUUCUCUUCCUCCUCCUCUCCCUCCUCCUCCUCUCCCUCCUCCUCUUCCUUCUCCUCUCCCUCCUCCUUUUCCUCCUCCUCCUUCUCUUCUACCCCCUCUUCCUCCUCCUCUUCUACCUCCUCUUCCUCCUUCUCUUCUGCUUCUUCCUCCUCCUCCUCCUCUUCUUCCUCUUCAUAAAAAUGUCCACCACCUCCAAACCAGAUGUGGUGAGCAGCACUCUCUGAACAGGGAGGGCUCAUUUCCUUGCCCACUCACAGUAUCUAGCCAGCCUCCCUUUGAGACAGGAACGCUCUAUAGUCUGGUUGACUUGAAAUUCAUUAUGUAGACCAGAGAUCUGCCUGCCUCUGUCUUUCAAGUGCUGGAAUUAAAGGCUCCCCUGCCUGGUGGGAGGGAAUAUUUUUUGAGGCUUAUUUUAUUUUAUUUUACUUAUGCACGCUCACCUGCAUAUGUGUCUGUGUGCCAUGUGUGUGCACGGCCCACAGAGGCCAGAAGAGAACAACAGAAUGAGCUCUCUCUCCUUGUGGCCCUGGACAAGAGUCACAGAUAGGAGCUGCCAUGUGGGUGCUGGGAACUGAAUCCAGGUCCUCAGGAAGAAAAGGCAGUGUUAAAUAUACACCUGGCCGGGAGUGUUGACGCAUCCCCUUUUAACUGGGGAAGCAGAGGCAGGUGGAUCUCUGAGUUGAGGCCAGACUGGUCUACAGAACAAGUUCCCAGACAGCCAGAGCUACACAGAGAAACCCUGUCUCAAAAUCACUCUCCUCUCUCUCUCUCUCUCUCUCUCUCUCUCUCUCUCUCUCUCUCUCUCUCUCUCUCUCUCUGCAUGCACAGUGUUUGAGAGCAGUGGCUCCCCUGGAGCUGGAGUUGGGUACUGGAACUGAACGGGGACCUGUGUAAGAGCCACACACACUCUUAACUGCCACACUGUCUCUGCAUCCCCACGGAGGGAGGAUUUUGACUUCCUCAGUGUCUACCUCUCACCCUGUGCUCCGCCACAGUAACAGCUGCUGGAUGUGCAGCUCAAUUGGUAGAGAGCUUGUCUAGCCAGCAUGCACAAAGCCCUAGGAUCACUUAGGCCAGGUAUGAUGGGGCAUGAAGUGCCCUACCCAAGGCCCUGAGCAAAACUGAGCAACACGCUGUGGUCUUUUACUAGUCUCUCUCUCUCUGGUCUUUUACUAGUCUCUCUCUCUCUCUCUCUCUCUCUCUCUCUCUCUCUCUCUCUCUCCCCCUUCUCCUCUUCUUUCUUCUUCUAGAAUCUUUCUCUCUCUCACUCUGCUUCUCUCUCACACUCUGCUUCUCUGUCUCUCUGUUCGUCCCUCCCUCCUUCCCUCCCUCCUUUGUCUACUAUAAGAAAUAAAAGCAGACACAAUGUCCUCUUUCCUUGGUAAAAUAGGCAAAGCCAGGGAAGAAUGGAGUCCAAGUCCUCCUGGGCUGGGCUGGGGCCUCAGGUACCUUGACUUUAUAGAAAGACGAUAGCCCGGGACGGGUGCCCAGGAAGCUGCCCACACAGAUCUGCAGCCAGGCACAGCGGGGACAGCAGUGUUUAAAUAGUUUCGGCUUUGCAGAGAGGGCGGCAGGCCCCUCCCUCAGCUUCCCAAAGCAGCAUGUGCAAACUAUUAAGUCAGUUUAUUUUUUCUAGAGUGCCAGAGUGGAAGUGACAUUGACGUCCUCCUGGUCAUCUGUGGGAACAGGGCCUCCAGCAUUUUCCAAAGCUGGCAUAUCUGGGGCCCUCCUUGCGGGCCCCCACUAAGUGGGACCCCAUGUCUAGGGCAGACGAGCCAACCUUCAGGGAUUUUUUUUUUUUUUUUGUGGUAUUUUGUCUCUGGGGACUACAAAGUAGAAAGUUGGCAGGCUUGGGAGUAGGGUGUGGCGGAGAGAUGGCUCAGCAGUUAAAGUCGUUUGCUGCUCUUGCAGAGAACUCAGGUUCCCAGCCCCCGCAUCAAGUAGCACGCAUCUGCCUAGAGCUCCAGUUUCAGGGGGGAAUGACGCCCUCUUCUGGCCUCCACAGACACCUGCAGCUCCACCGUGCACACACAGACAAGCAGGCAACAUACAAUGCAUAUAAAUAAAAAUAGAUUUGGAAAAAAAAUGAAAUAGAAAGAUGGAGGGUCCACUACCGUGUCUACUUUUAGGUGAUGUAGGGUGAUGUGUGCGCUGGGCAAGCAAUCUACCAACAGAGCUACACCCCAACCUUCCAAUACCUUCUGAAGAGACACUGACGCCAGGGGAUGAGGAGGUGCCUCAGUGGUCGAGUGCGUGCUGCUCUUUCAGAGGAUGUGAGUUUGGUUCCCUGCACAGAAUCAGGCAGCUCACUGCAUAUAACUCCAAUGCCUUGGGGUCGCCCUCUUCUGGCCUCUUUGGGCACUACACUCACAUGUGGCCACACGUGUAUACAGAGAGAGAGAGAGAGAGAGAGAGAGAGAGAGAGAGAGAGAGAGAGAGAGAACCACUCCUCCAUUGCUGGUGGGAUUGCAAACUGGUACAGCCACUCUGGAGAUCAAUCUGGUGGUUCCUCAGAAAAUUGGAAAUGGUUCUAACUAAAGACCUAGCUAUACCACUUUUGGACAUAUAUCCAAAAGAUGUCCCAGUGUACCACAAGGACACGUGCUCCUUGUUCAUUGCAGCCUUAUUUGUGAUAGCCAGAAGCUGGAAACAACCUAGAUCUCCCUCAACUGAAGAAUGGAUACAGAGAAUGUGGUUCGGGCUGGAGAGAUGGCUCAGCGGUUAAGAGCACUGACUUCUCUUCCAGAGGUCCUGAGUUCAAUUCCCAGCAACCACAUGGUGGCUCACAACCAUCUGUAAUGGGAUCCGAUGCCCUCUUCUGUGUGUCUGAAGACAGCUACAGUGUACUUAUAUAUAAAUGAAUAAAUCUUAAAAAAAAAAACAAAAACAGAAUGUGGUUCAUUUAAAGAGCUAUUAAAAACGAGGAUAUUAUGAAUUUUGUAGGCAAAUGGAUGGAACUAGAAAAUGUCAUCCUGAGUGAGGUGACUCAGGCCCAAAAGGACAUGCAUGGUAUGUACUCACUGAUAAACGGAUAUUAGCCAAAAAGUACAGAAUACAACCUACGGACCGUAAGAAGUGUAACAAGCAGAAAGGCCCACGUGAGGAGACUUCAGUCCCACUUAGAAGGGGGAAGAAAAUAAUCACAGGAGGCAGAGGGAGGGAGGGGCCUGGGUAGAAGAGGGAAGGAGGAGGGUAAAGGGGAAACAGGAUCAGGUAUGGGGGGUGCAAUAGGAGAGAAGCCCAGAGGGUUAAGACAAUGAAUGGAAAAAAGCAGCCUAGGGAGGGGAGGUGGGAAGACUCUCUAGAAAGUACCAGAGACCAGGGAGGUAAGAGACACUCAGGACUCAAUGGGGGUGACCUUAGCCAAAAAUGCCUAAACUGGGGAGAGGCGACUCGAAGAGCCCACCUCAAGUAGAUAGAUAAGGCCUCAAGUGGAGGAACAGUGUUACUAACCCAGAAUUGUUCCUUUCUAAAAGAACUUCAGGGACAAAAAUGGAGAAGAGACUGAAGGAAAGGCAGUCCAAUGACUGGCCCAACCUGGGAUCCAUCCUAUGAGGGGGCACCACGGCCUGAUACUACUACUGAGGCCAUGUUUUGCCAGACUGGAGCCUGGCAUGGCUUUUCUCUGAGAAGCACUAACAGCAGCUGACUGAGACAGAGGCAGAUACUUACACCCAACCAUUGGACUGAAGUCGGGGUCCCCUAUGAUUGAAUUAGGGGGAGAAUUGAAGAAGCUGAAGGGGAAAGUGACCCCAUAGGAAAAUCAACAGUUUCAACUAACACAGACCCCAGGGAGCUUCCAGAGACUAGCCAUCACCCAGGAGCAUACAGGGGCUGGUCCAAGGCCCGGUGCAUAUGUAGCAGAGGACUGCCUGGCCUUGCCUCAGUGGGAGAAGAUGGGCUUGAUCCUCCAGAGACUUGAGGCCCCAGGAAAGGGGGAGGCCUGGAUGGGGAGCACCCUCUUGGAGGCAAG
ensembl:lncRNA